GUUUACAGUGAUUAUGGUGGACAUUUUAAGCCAUUGUUCCUGUGACAGCCAGUAGGCUUGGCGGAUAAACAUGAGUGAGCGCUACCUUCUCAGUCUCAUGUCCUCCUUUGAGGUCAGCUCUCAGUAUAAAGUUUGUUCCUUUUUCGGAGGGGGAGCAUGAAAGGCCUGUCUCUGUAAUGGUUUCUAAGUACAACUGAUCCUAGUCCUGUAAUAAUAUUAUUAAAGUAUCCAAGAGUCUAAUUAAAGUAAAAAUGGACAGAGCAAACAUUUCUGGGAAAUUUGAACAAGCUGUUGGGAUGGCGAUGGUGAC